rnacentral:rRNA from 1 species
UAGGGAAUCUUCGGCAAUGGGGGGAACCCUGACCGAGCAACGCCGCGUGAGUGAAGAAGGUUUUCGGAUCGUAAAGCUCUGUUGUUAAGGAAGAACGAGUGUGAGAAUGGAAAGUUCAUGCUGUGACGGUACUUAACCAGAAAGGGACGGCUAACUACGUGCCAGCAGCCGCGGUAAUACGUAGGUCCCGAGCGUUGUCCGGAUUUAUUGGGCGUAAAGCGAGCGCAGGCGGUUAGAAAAGUCUGAAGUGAAAGGCAGUGGCUCAACCAUUGUAGGCUUUGGGAACUGUUUAACUUGAGUGCAGAAGGGGAGAGUGGAAUUCCAUGUGUAGCGGUGAAAUGCGUAGAUAUAUGGAGGAACACAGGUGGCGAAAGCGGCUCUCUGGUCUGUAACUGACGCUGAGGCUCGAAAGCGUGGGGAGCGAACAGG